rnacentral:rRNA from 1 species
GAUGAACGCUGGCGGCGUGCCUAAUACAUGCGAGUCGAGCGAACAGACGAGAAGCUUGCUUCUCUGACGUUAGCGGCGGACGGGUGAGUAACACGUGGAUAACCUACCUAUAAGACUGGGAUAACUUCGGGAAACCGGAGCUAAUACCGGAUAAUAUAUUGAACCGCAUGGUUCAAUAGUGAAAGACGGUCUUGCUGUCACUUAUAGAUGGAUCCGCGCCGCAUUAGCUAGUUGGUAAGGUAACGGCUUACCAAGGCAACGAUGCCUAGCCGACCUGAGAGGGGUGAUGGGCCACACGGGAACGGGGACCCGGUCCAGACUCUUAGGGAAGGAGGAAGAAGGAAAUCUUCGGCAAUGGGCGAAGGCCUGACGGGCAAACGCGGCUGAGGUGUUGAGGGUCUUGGGUCCGUAAAACUCUUUAUUUGGGGAGAAACAAAGUUUUAGUAAACGUUGCACGUUUUAACGGUCCCAAAUAAAAAAGCACCGGUUAACAACGUC